UAUAUAAACCGCCACAGACGUAUAUCCAUAUCAUUUGAGUUAUAAGUCAAAGUGUGUAAACAUGAAAGUGUAUUUGUUGCUCUGUUUGAUGCUUGUUGCACUUGCAUCGACGGCUUUCGCUGAUCCAAUUACAGCAGGUGUAUGUCCACCUGGGUAUAUACAAGUCGGGCAUCACUGCCUUCCGGAAGAUUAUUUGGAUGAUGCAUAAUGCUCAAGAUGUCAAAUAGUUCUGAAAGCAAGUUUUUUUAUUAAAAUGCUUUUGAUACCCAUUCAGUUUUUUUUUUGUUAAUUUUAAAUCGUUACCAAUUAGGUAAGCUUUGGCGGCAUACUUUAUGUACUGUGGAAAUACAGUUAACACUGUUUUAUAAGUUAUGAAUUACCCGAUUUUUUUAUUUAGGUUUGCUAAUCUAUAUAUUCCUCUAAUUUUACCCUAGUACAUAAUGUUUCUGUUUAUUUGAAUAAGUUAUAACAUGUCGGUUAGCACAAACAAAGAAAUAAAAUACGUAAAAAUAAUCAAAAUAUUUUAAAAUAAAGUAAACAGAAUAGAAUUAGAACACCAUAUAAAAGUCAGUCAUUACAAACAACGGAAAUUCUCCCUUUGAAAACUGACAGCUGUCAACUGAUCAAUACAUUGAUACUCCUAACUUUAUCUCUGCUUUACACAGGUAAGGCUGGUGUCAGACUUACUGGCCCCUGACUUCCCGUAACGACUGUCAAGGACACACAUAUAGUCAUUGUGUCAAAGAUAUACUUUAAAUAAUUAAAAGUUAAGUUAAAAAUAAAGUUUGUAUGUACUUACCUUAGUAGUUUGUCCACAACCUUAUAGACUUCGAAUAUAGUAUCACUUUCAAUUUUAUAUCUGGACGCGUUCUUGAGGAAGAACAGCUAAAGUAUAGGUACCUACUUGACUUUAAUACAUAUGUUAAUUAGCAUAAAGAAUUGUAAUUUAAAAAUAACAUAUGAUUGUAGUGUAGAUACGGUAUUUAUUGAUAAAUGAGUUAGGUAUCAAUUUUGAAGGCUGUAGGAGUAAGUAUAAAAGGAGUUGGUCAUUCAAUAAUCGUGUAUAUCGGUGUUGAGUGAUUUAGUAUCAACAUGAAGCUGUAUCUAGUAUUGUUUGUUGUGAUUGCUGCUCUUAUAGCUUUUGUCAGUCCUACUUCUUUGUCUCGCUUUUCGUGUAUGCAAGGCUAUGUCAGAGUAGGAAACAAAUGUGUCAAAACGAAAUAAGAAGAUUAUUACGAUGAUACAUAAUGCUCAGGAUGUCAAAUAGUUCUGAAAGCAAGUUUUUUUUAUUAAAAUACUUUUGAUGUCCA